rnacentral:tRNA from 1 species
AGGGCAGUAGUUCAGUGAGUAGAACCUACGCCCGUUAUGCGCGAGACCCGGGUUCGACCCCUGGCUGCUAUU